UCGUCAAAUUGUGUAAAAACACCUAUUUUCAUGUAAAUUAUAUAAAGUACAUGGAAACUUUUUUCUGUUAUCACUGUCAAUAUUGUACUGUCAGUGUCAAGGUUACGUUUAAAAUUCUUGUUCCGUUAACCGUCAGGAAAGAAAAGUGUGUGGAAAAGUGUGAUAAGCUCUGAAAUAAAUAGCUUUAUCUUAACAUAUUAUCAUGGAGUCUUCAGGAACAAGAGCCCCACGCAAACGUGUGGCUAAUUUCACGGCGGACGAAAAAGCUUUGUUAGCACAAUUAGUUAAAAAGAGACCAAUCGUGGAAUCUAAAAUAACAGAUGGCAAGUCAGUCGCCAAGAAACAAGCAGCAUGAGAUAGUAUAACACAGGAGUUCAAUCAGGAAUCAAUCACCAACUUCCAGACUACGGGCUGCUUUGUGAAAGUUUAAGAAAACUCAAAAAGCGAUUUCGGCCCGACCUCCGACCGGCCGAGACCUCGAGCACAGCAGCCGCGCUUGCGACCACUAGAUCAACGAGGAAGUCAAAUAAACUUUGUACUACAUAAUUGGCCUCUUGUUCAACAAUUAAAAAAGUAUUCCUCUUA